AGUGAACGCUGGCGGUAGGCCUAACACAUGCAAGUCGAACGGCAGCACAGUAAGAGCUUGCUCUUACGGGUGGCGAGUGGCGGACGGGUGAGGAAUACAUCGGAAUCUACUUUUUCGUGGGGGAUAACGUAGGGAAACUUACGCUAAUACCGCAUACGACCUACGGGUGAAAGCAGGGGAUCUUCGGACCUUGCGCGAUUGAAUGAGCCGAUGUCGGAUUAGCUAGUUGGCGGGGUAAAGGCCCACCAAGGCGACGAUCCGUAGCUGGUCUGAGAGGAUGAUCAGCCACACUGGAACUUAGACACGGUCCAGACUCCUACGGGAGGGAGCCGUGGGGAAUAUUGGACAAUGGGCGGAAGCCUUAUCCAGCCAUACCGCGUGGGUGAAGAAGGCCUUCGGGUUGUAAAGCCCUUUUGUUGGGAAAGAAAAGCAGCAGGUUAAUACCCCGCUGUUCUGACGGUACCCAAAGAAUAAGCACCGGCUAACUUCGUG
rnacentral:rRNA from 1 species